UACAGAGGUCCCGAGCGUUGUUCGGAUUCAUUGGGCGUAAAGGGUGCGUAGGCGGCGGGGUAAGUUUGAUGUGAAAUCCCGGGGCUCAACCCUGGAAUUGCAUUGAAUACUACCUUGCUAGAGUACCGGAGAGGAAACUGGAAUUUACGGUGUAGCAUGAAAUGCGUAGAGAUCGUAAGGAAGACCAGUGGCGAAGGCGGCGACCUGGACGGACACUGACGCUGAGACGCGAAAAGCGUGGGGGAGCAAACAGG
rnacentral:rRNA from 1 species